rnacentral:rRNA from 2 species
GCGCUAGAGGUGAAUUUCUUAGAUUGCCGAAAGACAAACUGCUGCGAAAGCGUCUSCCAAGGAUGUUUUCAUUGAUCAAGAACGAAAGUAAGGGGAUCGAAGACGAUCAGAUACCGUCGUAGUCUUUACUAUAAACGAUGAGGACUGGGGAUCGGGCGAGGAAUUACGAUGACCCGCCCGGCACCCUUCGAGAAAUCAAAGUGUUUGCUUUCUGGGGGGAGUAUGGUCGCAAGGCUGAAACUUAAAGGAAUUGACGGAAGGGCAUCACCGGGUGUGGASCCUGCGGCUUAAUUUGACUCAACACGGGAAAACUUACCAGGUCAGGACAUAGUGAGGAUUGACAGAUUGAGAGCUCUUUCUUGAUUCUAUGGUUGGUGGUGCAUGGCCGUUCUUAGUUGGUGGAGUGAUUUGUCUGGUUAAUUCCGUUAACGAGCGAGACCUGGGCGUGCUAACUAGGGGCUAUUAUCAUUUUGGUAGUACGUUCCCCUUCUUAGACGGACUGUGGGCGUCUAGCCCACGGAAGCUCCAGGCAAUAACAGGUCUGAGAUGCCCUUAGAUGUUCUGGGCCGCACGCGUGCUACACUGAGUGGAUCAGCGGGUCAGGUUACGCGAGAGCGUUUCCUAAUCUUCAAAUCCGCUCGUGAUGGGGAUUGACGGUUGCAAUUUUCCGUCAUGAACGAGGAAUACCUUGUAAGCGCGGGUCAUCAUCCCGCGCUGAAUACGUCCCUGCCCUUUGUACACACCGCCCGUCGCUCCUACCGAUUGAGUGGUCCGGUGAGGSUUUGGGAUCUAAGCGAAAAGAGCGUUUCKCUCCUUUUGCUGGGAGAACUCAGUCGAACCUUAUCAUUUAGAGGAA